rnacentral:siRNA from 1 species
AGUGGUGUGAUGGAGAUACUC